UACAGAGACUGCAAGCGUUAUUCGGAUUCACUGGGCGUAAAGGGUGCGUAGGCGGCGCGGUAAGUCGGGUGUGAAAUCUCGGAGCUUAACUCCGAAACUGCAUUCGAUACUGCCGUGCUUGAGGACUGGAGAGGAGACUGGAAUUUACGGUGUAGCGGUGAAAUGCGUAGAUAUCGUAAGGAAGACCAGUGGCGAAGGCGGGUCUCUGGACAGUUCCUGACGCUGAGGCACGAAGGUCAGGGGAGCAAACGGG
rnacentral:rRNA from 1 species